UAUCCACUCACUGACCACCUCUCGCCCUCUCCCCUCCCCGGCUCCCCCCGCCGCAUCGCCGCGCGCGUCGACGAGCCCGCAACCGCGCGACUCCGCCCGCCGACCACCGAAUCGGUCUCAUGAAUUGGCGGGGCUUGGGACUACGACCAGCUGUGUGCGGCGCGAUCGACGGAGGCAGACGCAUCGAGCUUCCUGACCCGGGCGUGCGUGCUCGAUCCGGUCUCAUUCCGGUCGGAUCCGCGGUGGUGCUCCUCUCCGGCGAGGUCGCAGGUCGAUCCGACGCGGGGCGGCUCGAUCUGCAAGCGGAGCAGCUCCGGCACGGCCAGGGCGACGACUGCUCCCCGACGCCGCCACCCUCCGCAAGGAGCGACGACGGCUCGAAGCUCUGCGGCACGGCGUGCGCCGAGCGACGCGCCGCGGGGGCGCCCCUGCCUCAGCCACCGGCGUGUCUGACCACCCGUCCACGCCCCCACCGCUGCCGCCGGCCGGCCACACGAUGUCGCUCGUCCCGCUGCUUCAGCCGGCCAAGAAACCGGAACGCCCCCCUUGCCUGGCAACCUCGGCAUCUCCAUCGACCGUCUCAGAAAGCGCUACCUCGCUCGGCUCCCGCAUAGCUGAUGCAAGCCAAGAAACAGGGAGUGCCGGCAGUAGUACUCUGAAUCCAUCAAUGCAACUGAAUCCAUAAUGCUAAUCAAGAGGUGGUUUUGGCCUAACUGGGAUGUGCUUGAGUCCUGCAUAGCUGUGGAGGAGGAAGUUGCUGCCCUUCUUGAGCAGUUUGCAAAGAUCUUCAGUGAGCAAAGAGGGCAGUGGAAGGCAGCAACCCAAUCCCAGGAGUUCCUUUGAACCCUUCAGCGUUAAUACAAUAAUGCUUACACAGAUCCUGAGAAGCCGGAUGCUAUAAAUGUAUUCUUGGGCCAUUUCCAGUCUCAACAAGGCAAACCUCCUCUUGUGGAAGUUGGACUGAGAUCAGCAUUACAAUGUUGGCCGCCAAGGAACUCUAUGUGAAGAAACUGGAAGGUGAACAUAUACCUGGAGGUAUCGGCAAUGGUGUCGUCUGUUCUGUUGGCUUGCUGUGUGGAGUCCCCAUAGGUAACUACUAAAAAAAAGACAUGUCUAACAGACUCAGGUAUCCCGCAAAAACUUGUAAACUGACUCUGCAAGCAGAUAACGUGAAAUACCAACAGUACUAAACGCCCGUUCCCAUGCUACAGAAACUCAGUCCAUAAGGGCAGCUUUGCUAUACAUAUGAAAAUAGAAAGACAUGUCCAACAGACUUUGCUACUUUGCAUUUUUUUGAAAACUGAAUUUGCUGGUUAUAAACAUGAUCGGGGUUGCUUGGUCUGAGUAUUGGAGCCUGUUAACAGGAAAAAUGACUACCACGACUGCAUAUUCCAGCUCUGACCUUCCGUAUUAUGUUAAUCAAAUCUAUUGCUAUUUUCGUUCUCAAGCACAUAACUGUAUUACACAAGAUCUAUUUUUAUUUGCACUUCAUUUGAGUUGAGAAUCCGUUUCUGUUGUAACAAAAUAGCAAUAGAUAUGUCGCAUUCCACUUAUUUUGGAACGUCGGGUAAUUUCAUGUGUACCAUAGGUGCAAAAUGAAUUCUGGCAUGGCUUGAUUUAGUUUCUGUUUGCUUUCAUCCUUUUAUUCGUUUGGUUUAUUCCAGGUCCAUAUAAUUAUGAUGUCUUGGAGGGUAUGACGUUCGACAAUAUUUAUGAAUCCUUCAAUGCUGACUUUGAGGAUGGUACAAUCGGGCAGGUAAUUAUUUUUCCUUUUGUCAUGUGAAGCCCAACACUAUGCUCUUAACCAGGUAUGGAUCUUUGAGAGUAUCCUUCAUGGUGAAUAUGGAGAAGGAAUGAAUAUCAAAGUACUUGUUCUAGCUGAAAGGGUAGACCUGCUCUAACCAAAGGACCUUUAGAUGCUUGACUACAACCAUUGCACUUACUGUUGUGGACCGGUUAUAUAGAUUAACCAAUUAUGCCUGUCAUGUAUAGAUUAACCGAAAGUUGUAUAUGUUCCGCCCAAGUUAUCAUGUAUUACAUUUGUGGACAGUUGUAUAUGUUCUGAUCUGUACACGUAUACAUAACAAACAAAGCAUGUGUGUUCAUACCUGGGGUU